GAUGAACGCUGGCGGCGUGCUUAAUACAUGCAAGUCGAACGGACAGGCCAUGCUCUUGCGGCGCGCUCGUGUGCCGCACGCGUGUGAAACACGCGUGUAUACCGUCCCUGUCAUACGGAUAUCACUACGAAAAUGCGGCUCUUACCCGAUAGGAUCUAUUGAUGCACGGGGGGGGUUGGUAAGAUUCGGCUGUUGGGGCUGGUCUAGCGGGUUCUCCGCUUGAUGGUGGGGUUGUGGCUUUCCCAGGUUUCGACGGGUAGCCGGCCUGAGCGGGUGACCGGCGACAUUGGGACUGAGAUACGGCCCAGACUGCUACGGGAGGCAGCAGGGGGGAAUAUUGCACAAUGGGCGGAAGCCUGAUGCAGCAACGCCGCGUGCGGGAUGACGGCCUUCGGGGUGUAAACCGCUUUCGCCUGUGACGAAGCGUGAGUGACGGUAAUGGGUAAAGAAGCACCGGCUAACUACGUG
rnacentral:rRNA from 1 species